rnacentral:rRNA from 1 species
GAUGAACGCUAGCGAUAGGCCUAACACAUGCAAGUCGAGGGGCAUCACAUGAAGUAGCAAUACGGAUGGUGGCGACCGGCGCACGGGUGAGUAACACGUAUGCAACCUGCCUUCAACAAGGGGAUAACCCGUUGAAAAACGGACUAAUACCCUAUAAUACAGGGGUCCCGCAUGGGGAUAUUUGUUAAAGAUUGAUCGGUUGAAGAUGGGCAUGCGUUCCAUUAGCUGGUUGGUGAGGUAACGGCUCACCAAGGCAACGAUGGAUAGGGGAACUGAGAGGUUUAUCCCCCACACUGGUACUGAGACACGGACCAGACUCCUACGGGAGGCAGCAGUGAGGAAUAUUGGUCAAUGGACGCAAGUCUGAACCAGCCACGUCGCGUGAAGGAAGACGGCCCUACGGGUUGUAAACUUCUUUUAUACGGGAAUAAAGUGCCCCACGCGUGGGGUUUUGCAUGUACCGUAUGAAUAAGGAUCGGCUAACUCCGUGCCAGCAGCCGCGGUAAAUACGC